ACGGUAGCACAGAGAGCUUGCUCUCGGGUGACGAGUGGCGGACGGGUGAGUAAUGUCUGGGAAACUGCCUGAUGGAGGGGGAUAACUACUGGAAACGGUAGCUAAUACCGCAUAACGUCGCAAGACCAAAGAGGGGGACCUUCGGGCCUCUUGCCAUCAGAUGUGCCCAGAUGGGAUUAGCUAGUAGGUGGGGUAACGGCUCACCUAGGCGACGAUCCCUAGCUGGUCUGAGAGGAUGACCAGCCACACUGGAACUGAGACACGGUCCAGACUCCUACGGGAGGCAGCAGUGGGGAAUAUUGCACAAUGGGCGCAAGCCUGAUGCAGCCAUGCCGCGUGUAUGAAGAAGGCCUUCGGGUUGUAAAGUACUUUCAGCGGGGAGGAAGGCGUUGUGGUUAAUAACCACAGCGAUUGACGUUACCCGCAGAAGAAGCACCGGCUAACUCCGUGCCAGCAGCCGCGGUAAUACGGAGGGUGCAAGCGUUAAUCGGAAUUACUGGGCGUAAAGCGCACGCAGGCGGUCUGUCAAGUCGGAUGUGAAAUCCCCGGGCUCAACCUGGGAACUGCAUUCGAAACUGGCAGGCUAGAGUCUUGUAGAGGGGGGUAGAAUUCCAGGUGUAGCGGUGAAAUGCGUAGAGAUCUGGAGGAAUACCGGUGGCGAAGGCGGCCCCCUGGACAAAGACUGACGCUCAGGUGCGAAAGCGUGGGGAGCAAACAGGAUUAGAUACCCUGGUAGUCCACGCCGUAAACGAUGUCGACUUGGAGGUUGUGCCCUUGAGGCGUGGCUUCCGGAGCUAACGCGUUAAGUCGACCGCCUGGGGAGUACGGCCGCAAGGUUAAAACUCAAAUGAAUUGACGGGGGCCCGCACAAGCGGUGGAGCAUGUGGUUUAAUUCGAUGCAACGCGAAGAACCUUACCUACUCUUGACAUCCAGAGAACUUUCCAGAGAUGGAUUGGUGCCUUCGGGAACUCUGAGACAGGUGCUGCAUGGCUGUCGUCAGCUCGUGUUGUGAAAUGUUGGGUUAAGUCCCGCAACGAGCGCAACCCUUAUCCUUUGUUGCCAGCGGUCCGGCCGGGAACUCAAAGGAGACUGCCAGUGAUAAACUGGAGGAAGGUGGGGAUGACGUCAAGUCAUCAUGGCCCUUACGAGUAGGGCUACACACGUGCUACAAUGGCGCAUACAAAGAGAAGCGACCUCGCGAGAGCAAGCGGACCUCAUAAAGUGCGUCGUAGUCCGGAUUGGAGUCUGCAACUCGACUCCAUGAAGUCGGAAUCGCUAGUAAUCGUAGAUCAGAAUGCUACGGUGAAUACGUUCCCGGGCCUUGUACACACCGCCCGUCACACCAUGGGAGUGGGUUGCAAAAGAAGUAGGUAGCUUAACCUUCGGGAGGGCGCUUACCACUUUGUGAUUCAUGACUGGGGUGAAGUCGUAACAAGUUAACCCCUAAA
rnacentral:rRNA from 1 species